CACUGGAGGCAGCGGUUCAUCGAUCUGUUCCUGAAACUGUUAAUCUUCACAUUCAUUGCAGCAAUCGAUCGAUAAACCUCUGCAUCCAGG
rfam:Beta vulgaris subsp. vulgaris Bvchr5_un.sca031.con0018.1, whole genome shotgun sequence.